UGGGGAAUUUUGGACAAUGAGCGAAAGCUUGAUCCAGCAAUACCAAGUGAGUGAUGAAGGCUAAUUAGGUUGUAAAGCUCUUUCAUUAAGGAGGAAAAUGACAGUACUUAAAAAAGAAGUUCCGGCUAAUCCCCGUGCCAGCAGCCGCGGUAAUACGGGAGGAGCGAGCAUUAUUCGGAAUGAUUAGGCGUAAAGGGUUUGUAGGUGGUUUUUUAAGUUGAAAAAAACAGAUUAAAGCUCAACUUUAUAAAUUUUUUCAAAACUGAGAAACUUGAGUAUAAAUAGAGGAUAAUGGAAUUUCUAUUGGAGGGAUAAAAUAUGUUGAUAAUAGAAGGAAGGCCAAAAGCGAAGGCAAUUAUCUGGGUAUAUACUGACACUGAGAAACGAAAGCUUGGGGAGC
rnacentral:rRNA from 1 species